CACACACACACACACACUGUGCCUAGGACAAAAUGGUAACUAAGUACCUAACACACACAAGCACGCAGACUGACAUUACUGCAGCAACCCCUCAGUCUCGCUGCUCGCACACUCGCCUCCUCGCCACCACCACUAGCACUCACACAAUGCUGGCACAAACAGGUCUGGAGGCGGCGUUCAGCAACAUUGUGUCCAAUGUGAGAGCCAGUAUAAAUCUCCAGAGCGUGCAACAAGACGUGGCACACAACCACACCGGCUCCUGCGAGAUGACCACCUUCAGCGACCCCGGCAACCUACCCAACUAUACUCUCCAGGGAGUGUGGUGGGUGAUGUGGCUGGUAUGUGUGGAGUAUGUGGCACUGUGGUGGCAGGGAGCCCGUCUACCAGUACUCCACGACAACAUUAUUAGUCUAGUCCAUGCUACACUCUACGAGGUCACCAAGUUGUUCGUGCGUGGUGUGGAGUACGGGGUAUACACGUGGGUGUGGCAACACUAUUCCAUUCUUCCAGCCCUGGACUCAUCACUGCUGGGCUUGGCAAUACUGGUGGUGCUGAUAGACCUGGUCUACUAUUGGCUACACCGAGCCAAUCAUGAGAUCAUGUUGCUAUGGGCGAUCCACCAAGUGCAUCACACCAGCCAGGACCUGACUGUGGCUGUGGGUCUCCGACACUCACCCCUGCAACGACUCUUCGCCUGGGUCUUCUAUCUUCCCCUGGCGGUGCUGGGUGUGCCUCCUAACCAAAUGCUGGCUCAUUCCCAGUUUAACACUCUCUACCAGUGCUGGACCCACACACACGCCAUCCGAUCCAUUGGUCCACUGGAUUAUAUUUUCAACUGCCCAGCCCACCACCGCGUCCACCAUGGAAGCAACUUGUACUGUCUGGACAAGAACUAUGGCGGCGUGUUUAUCCUGUGGGACCGACUCUUCGGCACCUUCCAGCAGGAGUUACCUGACGAGGAGAUCAUUUACGGUAUCCUUACCCAACCUGACAGCUACAACCCCCUCUACCACCAGGUAUUCUACCUCAAGAUGGCCCUGGAGAAGGCUCGAGGGAUGAGCACAUGGAGGGAGCGGCUGAGUACUCUGGUCAAAGGACCCAGCUGGAUGCCCGGUUCACCCUGGACUGGCUGGGACAAAGACAAACCUGACAUCCGCGGGUGUCGUGUGUAUCGUAAGGUGAAGGCUAGCUCAUUCACUCACUGCUAUGUCCUCAUGCACUUCUUGGCUAUCCUCACCCUCACCAAUCUACUGAUAGCUCCUUUGAGUGGGACACCAGUGGAGGUGUUUGUGUACAGUAUGGUGGUGGUGGUAACCUUGGGCUGCAUUGGGGUGGUGUACGACGAUCCUCCAUACACCCGUCUCGUAGAGGUGAUGAGGUGCUCUGCCAGUCUGUUAAUAUGCCUGUUCCUGCCACCCCUAGUUACUCCCAUCAUACUUCAGCUCCUCACCAGUCUCUAUGUUCUCUCCCUCACUCUCUGGCUCUUCAACCCUACAUCCAUGCUCCCACAUCCCUCCACAAAGCUGGAUACAUCUAGCAUGAAAUAGCUGUAUCUUCUACAUAUGUAUUACUGUUUGCUGAUUAUAAAUACUGUAUAUCAUGAAAACAUUUAUUGUACUCACUACCAUAAAUAUAUCAUAGAGGUAAUAAAGUGCCUGAGUAAUGGCUGGUACUGUAAUCAGGUUUGAUCUACGGAAAAGGGCAUUUCUAAUUCCUUGGAUCAAGAGUCCUUCACUGCAUCAAGGCACCUCCCCAUUCAAUGGUAGCUAACAGUAAAAGUUUUACUUGCUAUUCUCAGACUUACGUUUCAUUACUAUUAUUCCAAGGAUCCUGGUCCUCACCCAUGAUUUUUAACCUAGACUCACCAGGGGCACCAAGAGGGUCAUUUCUCUGAGUUAAUUAGUUAAAUGACUAUUAAACAUUUAAUUGUUACUCUUAGUCUUGAGUUAAACAUAAGGACAUUGAUUUUUGUGAUCUAUACCAAAACUUUUGUUAUCCCUCCUGGUACUAGAUCCACUUUUUUUCAUGCCAUGCUGAAUGCAUCAAAUUAUCAUGUACUUUUGUUUAAUAGAUUCUAGUUUAGUUUUUACUAUCUUUUUAAGUAUUAAUUUUACAUCAUUAAUAACAGUUUGAUUAUUGUACGUCUAACAGCAAGUAAUAUUUAUUAUCACCAUUUUGGGAAUACAGUAUCAAGUAAUCAUCAUAUGUAUAUUACUUAAUAAAUUUAAGUUACUUGGAGUGUCUUGUCUGAAAUUAUGAAUACAACACAAGGGACUUCUCAAAUGCUUUAAUAGGUUAGUCACAAUUAAGGUCUGUCCAAAAUGCUGUGCAUUUUUUAUUCUGUAAGCUGCUAACCCAGCAUUGUAAUAUCUAUAUGGUUUAAUUAAUAACACACUAAUAAUAAAACUGUUACCUAUGUAGAUAAUCCCAUGCUUUGGGAAUGAAGAUAUUUCAAUAUUCACAGGUACAAAUAAUAUACGUACGUACUUGGUAUCUCCAAAUUUUUAUUUGAUAAAUUAUAUAACAUAUGUAUAGUAUCAUAUACUGUUAGUCUUGCCACUUUACAAUAAAUGAUAGUUUUGAUAUGUUACUCCUUUUUACACGUAUUUAGCAACCAAUUUAAAACAUGAAAAAUUUAUGUAUACAUAGUAAAGUACAUGUAUAUAAAGUAUACAAUUUAUAAAUAUGAAAAAUUAAACUUUAUAAGCAUUUAUGUUGUUCAUUUUCCAUAUUCAAAUUAUUCACUAGCAUAGUAGUGCAAUAUAAUUUUCUUCUUAAUUCAUUCUAAAUAUGGUACAGUACUCCCUUAUUCUCACUGAGCAUGAGUUUGAAACCCAUCACCGCCAUAGUUGUACCUCCUCUGGUCUUCAUUUGUGAUCCACAUUAUGGACUUAAUCCUCACAUGGGAAUAAACAAGGAAAUGAGAAUGUCGCUGCAUCAUGAAUGUAACAAACUUGAUAAAGAAAAAGAAAAUGUACUGGAACACUUAAAAAUACAUACCAUAUAAACAAAUAUUAAUAAACAAGAAAUUACUAAGUAUUCCAUAAGAAUAAACAGUAAUUUCUUGUUUAUUAGAAAUGAUGUCAAGAAAAUUAAAAUACAUAAUGCAAAGAGUGUGUAUAAUACAGUAGCAUUUAGAAAAAGAGAGAAAUGAACACUAUGAAGGUAAGGGAAUGUUCUACACAAGAAAGUUAAUGAACUGCUUAAACAUUCUCUAAUGUUGCAAUACAGAAAAAAACAGCAUUUUCAGGAAGGCACCAACAUCAAUGAUCCAAUGAUGGCCCACUAAACUGCAACAUCCCAAACCAUCUUUUAAAAUGCA